rnacentral:rRNA from 1 species
AGAGUUUGAUCCUGGCUCAGGAUGAACGCUAGCGGCAGGCUUAACACAUGCAAGUCGAGGGGCAGCGCGGGGUAGCAAUACUCUGGCGGCGACCGGCGGAAGGGUGCGUAACGCGUGAGCAACAUGCCCGUGGCAGGGGGAUAAGCGAUGGAAACGUCGUCUAAGACCCCGUAACAACAGAGUUCGCAUGGACUUUGUUUGAAAGCUUCGGCGGCCACGGAUUGGCUCGCGUCCCAUUAGGCAGUUGGCGGGGUAACGGCCCACCAAACCGACGAUGGGUAGGGGUUCUGAGAGGAAGGUCCCCCACAAUGGAACUGAGACACGGUCCAUACUCCUACGGGAGGCAGCAGUGAGGAAUAUUGGUCAAUGGGCGGAAGCCUGAACCAGCCAUGCCGCGUGCAGGAAUAAGGCCCUACGGGUCGUAAACUGCUUUUGUACGGGAGCAAUAAGGGCCACGUGUGACCUGAUGAGAGUACCGUACGAAUAAGCAUCGGCUAACUCCGUGCCAGCAGCCGCGGUAAUACGGAGGAUGCGAGCGUUAUCCGGAUUCAUUGGGUUUAAAGGGUGCGUAGGCGGCGUGCCAAGUCAGGGGUGAAAGGUUCCGGCUCAACUGGGACAGUGCCUUUGAUACUGGUGUGCUGGAGUGCGCUUGCCGUGGGAGGAAUGAGUGGUGUAGCGGUGAAAUGCUUAGAUAUCACUCAAAACACCGAUUGCGAAGGCAUCUCACGAAGGCGUAACUGACGCUGAGGCACGAAAGCGUGGGGAUCAAACAGGAUUAGAUACCCUGGUAGUCCACGCCGUAAACGAUGAUGACUAACCGCCGGUCCGAUAGGGUCGGUGGCCAAGCGAAAGCGAUAAGUCAUCCACCUGGGGAGUACGACCGCAAGGUUGAAACUCAAAGGAAUUGACGGGGGCCCGCACAAGCGGAGGAACAUGUGGUUUAAUUCGAUGAUACGCGAGGAACCUUACCCGGGCUCGAACGGCAAGUGAAGAGAGACAGAGAUGUUGACGUCCUUCGGGACACUUGUCGAGGUGCUGCAUGGUUGUCGUCAGCUCGUGCCGUGAGGUGUCGGCUCAAGUGCCAUAACGAGCGCAACCCCUGCUUCCAGUUACCAGCACGUAAAGGUGGGGACUCUGGAGGGACUGCCACCGCAAGGUGAGAGGAAGGGGAGGAUGACGUCAAAUCAGCACGGCCCUUACGUCCGGGGCGACACACGUGUUACAAUGGCGGCCACAGAGGGAAGCUACCCUGCGAGGGGAUGCGGAUCUCGAAAAGCCGUCUCAGUUCGGAUCGGAGUCUGCAACUCGACUCCGUGAAGCUGGAUUCGCUAGUAAUCGCGCAUCAGCCAUGGCGCGGUGAAUACGUUCCCGGGCCUUGUACACACCGCCCGUCAAGCCAUGGAAGCCGGGGGCGCCUGAAGUUCGUGACCGCGAGGAGCGACCUAGGGCGAACCUGGUAACUGGGGCUAAGUCGUAACAAGGUAGCCGUACCGGAAGGUGUGGCUGGAACACCUCCUU